GACGAACGCUGGCGGCGUGCUUAACACAUGCAAGUCGAACGGAAAGGCCCUGCUUUUGUGGGGUGCUCGAGUGGCGAACGGGUGAGUAACACGUGAGUAACCUGCCCUUGACUUUGGGAUAACUUCAGGAAACUGGGGCUGAUACCGGAUAGGAGCUCCUGCUGCAUGGUGGGGGUUGGAAAGUUUCGGCGGUUGGGGAUGGACUCGCGGCUUAUCAGCUUGUUGGUGGGGUAGUGGCUUACCAAGGCUUUGACGGGUAGCCGGCCUGGGAGGGUGACCGGCGACAUUGGGACUGAGAUACGGCCCAGACUCCUACGGGAGGCAGCAGUGGGGAAUAUUGCACAAUGGGCGGAAGCCUGAUGCAGCAACGCCGCGUGCGGGAUGACGGCCUUCGGGUUGUAAACCGCUGUCGCCUGUGACGAAGCGUGAGUGACGGUAAUGGGUAAAGAAGCACCGGCUAACUACGUG
rnacentral:rRNA from 1 species